CUUGUGGCUAAUCCCCGAUAGAUGGGGAGGCCUGGAAUGGUUUCUCAUCCAAAAGGCGUUUAGGCCAUGCUUCUAGGCGUCGCCAAAGGAUGGGGCCGCGGCCGAUCAGGUUGCUGGUGAGGUAACGGCUCACCAAGCCUAUAACCGGUACGGGCCGUGAGAGCGGGAGCCCGGAGAUGGGCACUGAGACAAGGGCCCAGGCCCUACGGGGCGCAGCAGUUGCGAAAACUCCGCAAUACGCGAAAGCGUGACGGGGCUACCCCGAGUGCCGUCCGCUGAGGAUGGCUUUUCCACGGUGUAAGGAGCCGUGGGAAUAAGGAGAGGGCAAGCCUGGUGUCAGCCGCCGCGGUAAUACCAGCUCUCCGAGUGGUGGGGACGAUUAUUGGGCUUAAAGCGUUCGUAGCCGGCUCAGCAAGUCUUCCGUUAAAUCCAACGAUCUAAUCGUUGGGCUGCGGGAGAUACUGUUGGGCUAGGGGGCGGGAGAAGCCGACGGUAUCCUCGGGGUAGGGGUGAAAUCCUAUAAUCCCGGGAAGACCACCAGUGGCGAAGGCGGUCGGCUAGAACGCGCCCGACGGUGAGGGACGAAAGCUGGGGGAGCGAACCGGAUUAGAUACCCGGGUAGUCCCAGCCGUAAACGAUGCGGGCUAGGUGUUGGGGCGGUCACGAACCGCCUCAGUGCCGCACGGAAAGCAAUUAAGCCCGCCGCCUGGGGAGUACGGUCGCAAGGCUGAAACUUAAAGGAAUUGGCGGGGG
rnacentral:rRNA from 1 species